GAAGAACCUUACCUACUCUUGACAUCCAGGGAACAUGGCAGAGAUGCCUUGGUGCCUCCGGGAACUCUGAGACAGGUGCUGCAUGGCUGUCGUCAGCUCGUGUUGUGAAAUGUUGGGUUAAGUCCCGCAACGAGCGCAACCCUUAUCCUUUGUUACCAGCGAUUCGGUCGGGAACUCAAAGGAGACUGCCGGUGAUAAACCGGAGGAAGGUGGGGAUGACGUCAAGUCAUCAUGGCCCUUACGACCAGGGCUACACACGUGCUACAAUGGCGCAUACAAAGAAAAGCGAUCUCGCGAGAGCAAGCGGACCUCAUAAACUGCGUCUUAGUCCGGAUUGGAGUCUGCAACUCGACUCCAUGAAGUCGGAAUCGCUAGUAAUCG
rnacentral:rRNA from 1 species